rfam:Glossina brevipalpis unplaced genomic scaffold Scaffold42, whole genome shotgun sequence.
GGAGUAGGUUUAGUACGUAGGCGUCACGGAUGACGAAUCGUGCAUGGUACUGGCACGGGCUAAUAAUAUCUAUGAAGAUUCCCAUCUCC